AGUUUGUCCGCGAACAAAAUAAUCACCUCUUCAUCUGCCAUGUCUCAGGUUCUCCGACGCGCUUCAUGCUGGCGCAGAGGCGGAGCGAGCCGCCGAAGGGGGAUUUGGAGGCCAAAACAUUUUGGACCGCUUCCAUUGUCGGAGGCAACGGCAAAAGACCGCUCCCGCCCAAGGAUUCGACGCCGAACAUGGAAGGGCAGCCGUGCCUCCCGAGCGCAACCUUUCGGCGGGGCCACGACAACUUCGAUCCGCCGUACGGAGCCGGCUGCGCCCGGCCUGGAUUUUAGCCAAAGGUAGGCAGACGCUCGCCCGUCAAGUGGAUCGCGUUGAGCGCCGGACGAGACCACAAGCCGUGAUUUGGACAGCUUUCGAGUGAUGACCGUAGAGUCCCGUCCCAAGGACUCUCGGCUUCAUGACUCGCCAUCAUCACGCGGGAGUGUUUCAUCGCCUUUUCAAUUUCUGGCUUAGCGACAUCAAAUCACUUUUGCAGCUCAUUUGGAAGCUCGAAGAAUUGGCUCGUAUCGUCUGACCCGAUUGAUUUUGCUGCCUCGUCAGUCAUCUGCGAGCGGCGUUUUCACAAAGUCGUCAUUUUCUAUGUUUAGUCGGGAUCGACCCCGGCGGCGGCACGGAAAGGUCAAAGCCGAAGAGCACCCCGCCCAGGGGGCCGACGGACGAAGACUGACCGGCUUGCCGCGUGGGAUCCAAAAGAUAAGAACAUUUUUCAAGUAGUAGUUUCAAUUUAUCAGUUCUGGGUCGCACAGCGAGUAGCCGUCUCCAAGUCGAGGCCCGCACGAUGAGAACUUUGCUUUGAUAGAUCGACGUUUGGUCCAGUUGGACCACUGCGAUGGCAAGCGUCGCCUUUUUGGGCAGAUUUGUUCCAAAAAGAAGGCUCCAAGCGGAAGAAAAGGAUCUUGUUGGUGUGACGAUUUCUCUCGCUCACGGCCUGCGCAAUUUGCAAAGCGGCUCAUGGAAGAACCAUCACGAAGCGAAAGAAACAUUUGACCACAACGUAUUGGAUUCUUCAUUUCCAGGUAGCGCCUGGCAACUAAAGCUGCCAGGCGCUACCUGGAAUUUAUUUUUACAAGAAAUAGUUGUCAACAAGAUGACAAUGAAUUGCUGGUUUCACAGCCUCUGCCCCCCCCCACAAAAAAUACAACAACUGUUAAUUUACGUCCAGUCAAAAUUGCUCAAUCACUUCCAGUAAUACUGACAGUCAUUUUUCCAGUAUUUAGCAGGCAACAUUUUUUGCCACUUACUGCCUGGAAAUUCGACAUCCAAUUCGGUCCAGUGGAGAGUUUGAGUUGAUGCAGAAGACAUUUUUUUCUUUUUGCCAAGAAGCAAUGUACUCGCAGAGCGCAUUCAACAGAAUUAAAAAAAAAAAAAAACAAGCAGAUUUAGCAGGAGUGUUGGUGAUCACUUUUCCCCAAACCGUUAGCGGUACGAGUAGUGGCUCUCGAGUACUGACUGAUAGCAGCCGCACGGACGUCCAAUUUCCGCAAAGGCAAAGGCCGAGCGCCAUCACCAACGUGUCAAACGGCCUCGGCGCGGCACCGAUGAAUCUUCGGAAAGGAAGACUUUCUCCUCAGAUGUUUCUUUGCCUUAAGUAUCGGUGGCCGGUAUCGGCAUCCUUGCCAAUAGCACUCGCCCAUCCCUGUUAUUUUUUCCUUGACAUUUCAAAAGAAUAUACUUGAGCGCAGUCCAAGCGGGAGACCUUUGCCGACGGCGGGCCAUCGGACUACGUCGAGGCUCUGAGCAAGAAAAGGCGCGGGCGGCGUGGCCGCUGCCGGUCCCUCAUCCGCGCCGACGGGAGGCUUCGCCGGCUGGAGUCCAUCCUGCGAGUUUGAAGCCCGCAGAGGAGACGCGGCUACUUUUCCGGAAGAUUUGGAGAACUUAUCACGGGAGGGAAGACUCGCGUCAUCGGAAUCUGCCAGCAAGAAUAGAAAGAAACGGAAUGUUGUAAUGUAAAGUGACCACCAAAUCGAGGCAAUAUUUCAGCCUUGCCUUUGAAAUAAUGUUGAGCCCAAAAAUGUUUCCGGGGACUCAUUUCAAAUCCAAUACAAAUUGCAGAAGGGAAAAAGAAGCUCAAUCAGCUUCCAAGACUGGUCAACAUCACCUCGAGGAUGUCUUCCUGGCCCUCGGUUGAAGUCCCCCCCCCCCUCCCAUUUUUUUUAAAAAGAAGACAACGUGUUGCUACUAACGUAGUUGUCAUUGCAUCGACCCUGGAAGGUUUGAACAACUAAAAACGUCUAAA